rnacentral:rRNA from 1 species
CACGUAGGGGCCAAGCGUUGUCCGGAUUUAUUGGGCGUAAAGAGCUCGUAGGCGGUGUGUCGCGUCGGCCGUGAAAACCUGCAGCUUAACUGUGGGCUUGCGGUCGAUACGGGCAUCACUGGAGUUCGGCAGGGGAGACUGGAAUUCCUGGUGUAGCGGUGAAAUGCGCAGAUAUCAGGAGGAACACCGGUGGCGAAGGCGGGUCUCUGGGCCGAUACUGACGCUGAGGAGCGAAAGCGUGGGGAGCGAACAGG